CAUCUUCAUGAAGGAAACCAUGAAUGGUUUUUUCCUCCACUACUGAGUAGCACAAAGAAGAAAGAAACACAUUAAGUACCUCCCUUUUGUUUCACAUGCAUCUAAGUAAAAUUCCACAGUAUUUCUACAAAGCAUUCCAACAAGUAAAAACUCAUUAUUAAUUUAUGGGCAAUUUUUAUUCUGUUUAACUCAAGAAAAAGCCAGAGGAAGGAAAUUUUUCAGAAAUUCUCUCUGGGAGUUCCUGUAAUGCCUCAGCGGUUAAUGAAUCUGACUAGCAUCCAUGAGGAUGCAGGUUUGAUCCCUGGCCUUGCUCAGUGGGUUAAGGAUCUAGCAUUGCCAUGAGCUAUGGUGUAGGUCACAGACAUGGCUAAGAUCCUGCUUUGCUCUGGCUUUGGUGUAGACCAGCAGCUACAGCUCUGAUUUGACCCUAGCCUGGGAAAUUGCAUGCCACAGGUGUGGCCCUAAAAAAAAAGAAAAAAAAAUCCUGUCUGAAUAAUUUCUCUUCAAAGUAUAGAUUGAAAAUUUCUAUUUUGAAUUGAUCAGUAAAAACCAAGACAACUUAACCCUUUUAACAAAGGUUUUGUUUCUGUGGUAUUUUAUCUUCUUGAAUCUUUAUGUGGGUUUUUUGAGCUUUUUUAUGACUUUGAACAUAGUUAUUUCUAUUUAUCAAUGUGAAUUUGGUUUUUUAAAUUUUAUUAAAGUAUAAUUGAUUUCCAAUGUUCCUUCAAUUUCUGCUGUACCGCAAAGUAACUCAGGCACAUAUAUAUAUUUUAUAUAUAUAUAAAAUUUUCCACACUAUCUUCUGUCAUGUUCUAACACAAGAGACUGUAUACAGUUCCUUGUGCUAUACAGGAUGACACCUUACCUAUCCGUUCUAAAUGCAAUAGUUAACCUCAAACUCCCCAUCCAUCCCCUUAUUGAGUGCAUAUUUCAGCCAUAAUUUUUCCCAAGAUUUUCAUGUGUGCUACCUCACUUCAUCUAAGAGGGCCCCCCAAGACAAGAUCAUUAUCAUUGUUUCAUGGAUGAAAAAACUGAGACCAGACAGCUCUCAAGUUCAUCUCACUGUCAAAUGAACUUCUACUACAAGCAUUCUGGAUGGACGGGGAAAGAGAGACCCAAUCAUGAGUACGAAAAUAUUGGCCUAGCACAUAGUGAUGCUAUGAAAAAAAUAUAGGCAUGUUUUAUUUUAUUUAAAUAAAUACCACUGUUAGGCACUGUUCUAUUUAACAUGGUGAGAUAAGUACUAUUAUUAUCUCCACUUUACAGAUGAGAGAACUGAGGCACAGAGAAAUGAUAACAUGUUCCAGUAAACUCAGUGAGUGAUAAAGUAGAAUUUCAGAUCCCAGCAGUCAGGCUUCAGUGUCCAUGCUCAUCAUCAUCAUGCUAAAAAUCAAGGUUAAGAGAGCAGAAACAAGUCUCUACAGAGCAUUAACAAGUAAUGCGAUGCUUCAUAAUGCUUUCUGCAGAUUUGAGGGUUUUGAUGUUUGCAUAUAGCUUAUCUCAUUGAGAAUAACAAUGCUCUAUGCACUUCUGCUCAGGUUUUUCAAAAGUAUGAUAAAGGAUGAGAAUCAAUGACUGGCAAGGGAAAUUAAAAUGAAUGUCCAUGGGCUCUCUUGCUUGGGAAGGAUAUUUUCGAAAAAUGUAUUAUUCAUUUGGGGGAUGACAACAUCUGAGUGAACACCAUCCAUCAAAUAUUAAAUUUGAAAUGCAAAGGGUAUCCAGGAUAUACACUAUCCAGAAGUAUUUUCCUGCAGAAAAAUGUUAAAUCAUCCAAAAUUCUAACCUGAAGAUACUACUUCUUUCACACUAAUAAAGAGUUGUUUAUUUUGAAAAAAGUAAAAUAAAUUCCAUCUCAUGUGAUACACUGUUAAAGGUGGCUCCAGAAAAUGUAUUUUAUGCAUUUGUUUUUAUUAUAGUUGAUUUACAACGUUCUGUCACUUUCUGCUGUACAGCAAAGUGACCCAGUCACACACACACACACACACACACGCAUAUUUUUUUUCUCACAUUAUCCUCCAUCAUGUUCCAUCACAAGUGACUAGAUAUAGAUCCCUGUGCUAUACAGAAGCACCUCAUUGCUUACUCACUCCAAAUGCAAUAGUUUGCAUCUACUAAUCCCAAGCUCCCAGUCCAUCCCAUUCCCUUCCCCUUCCCCUUGGCAACCACAAGUGUGUUCUCCAUGUCCAUGUGUUUGUUUCUUUUAUUUAGAAAGGUUCAUUUGUGCCAUAUAUUAGAUUCCAGAUACAAGUGAUCUCAUAUGGUAUUUGUCUUUAAAUUUAUUCUUUUCAUUUUUCUCCAUUUUUGUGGCUCCCUGCUUGUCCUUGGGAAUUUGUUUCUUUAACCACUUUAUCAGUCGGUGUCUGCCCCCUGUGGUAAACUGAGGAGUCAGCAGUCUUCUGUGUUUUUCAGUUCAGGUUACAGAAUGUGCUUGUUGAGAACCUUAGAAUUUCAGGAGCUUUUUAGGGUGUGGCAGGGCCAGGAGAGGAUUAGGGGAGGGGGACACAGCACUCAGAAUGUCCCAUGCUUCUGAGGGAGCUAGAAUAUUGCAGGGCCCCACUGUGGCAUAUUUCCUGGGCACCUGUGACCACAGCUGUGAAAACGCUGAUGCAGGAAAUAAUCACUGUGGGUUACAGAGCUUGUGACUUCCGUGGGAAACCUUAGGUGUUUAAUAUUUUACCUCAUUUACAAAUGGCUUUUAAAUUACCUAGUUAAAAUUCAGUUAUGCCAACAAAUAGAAUGCCUUUUUUGGUCCAUAAUGCUACUAUUCAGGCAGUGUCUUUAUUAAAAUUUGUUGAUACAACAUAUAUAUGUGUAUGUAUGUAUAUAUGUGUGUGUGUGUAGGUAUAUAUAUGUAUGUGUAUAUAUACAUAUAUGGAAUACAUUCAUAAGCAGUCUGGAGAGAAUAUGAGGUUAAAGGAGGUGGCGAAGCAAAAAUUGGAGUUCCCUUGGUAGCUCAGUGGAAACAAAUCUGACUAGUAUCCAUGAGGAUGCAGGUUCAAUCCCUGGCCUUGCUCAGUGGGUUAAGGAUCCAGCGUUGCUGUGAGCUGGGGUGUUGCUCAGACGUGGCUCAGAUCUGGCGUUGGCUGUGGUGUAGGCCUGUGGCUACAGCUCUGAUUUGACCCCUAGCCUGGGAACUUCCAUAUGCUGUGAGUGCAGCCCUAAAAAGACCAGAAAAAAAAAAAAAGAAGGAAGAAUGUAUCAAUGCUGACUCUGAAUGAAUUUAUUUCACCACUACUCAAGAGUUUCUGCUUUGUUUUUUACUAAGACAACAUUCUAGUUAUGGUGAAAUACCAUUGACUUCACCUUGGGAAUGGAAUUAAAAUACCUGAUUCAAAUUAAAUGUAAUGGGAAGAAGCAGGCUAGCUCAUAGCCUUGUGAAGCAAUGGAAGGCAAUAUACCAACCAAGGCAGCUAAGGGUCCCGGAUCCAAUCCCAGGUCUCUCCCUCGUCUGCUCCAAUGCCUUAGGAAAUCUACUGAACUUUUGUGCACGACAAUUGUCAUGACCAUGAAAUAGGGCUGAUGGCGCUACCAUAUGAGCAAUCUGUGAGAAACUUUCAAGUCAGUUACAGGGACCAUAGGUAAAAGCCAGAGUGCUCCCAGGAAAUGCCCCUCCCAAGAAAUGUCCCACUACAAGACACCUGGCAAGUGACAGGGAAAUGUGACUUGAAGCCUUGCUUAUAAGUUGCUUGACAUUUGAAAGGGAAGGGUUUCUGGGAGAUCCAGGACUCUUCAUUCCUGGAAAGAACAAGCCUGGCCGUGACCUGCUCUACCUGCAGGAAACAUGUGGAUAAUUCUCUUUUCAAUUUCAUACCCACAUAAUAUUUGUGGAAAAGCAUACUUAAAAUUUCCUCCUAGGAAAAAACCCAUAGCCUAUUAUUUUUAAUUUUUUAUUAUAGUUGAUUUACAAUUUUGUGCCAAUUUCUGCCAUACAGUAAAGUGACCCUGUUAUGCAUGUAUACACAUUACUUUUCUUACCUUCUCUUCCAUCAUAGUCUAUAUAUAGCUUGGAUAUAGUUCUCUGUGCUAUACAAUAGGACCUCCUUGCUUAUCCAUUCUAAAUGUAAUAGUUUGCAUUUACUAACCCCAAACUCCCAGUCCAUCCCACCUGUGACCUAUUAUUUAAUAAUUGUUAACUAAAAUGAUGUGACAUUUCUAUUAGAACAAGGUUUUAGGCUCUUUGUAUACAAAAGAGCCAAUAUAUGAGCUCACAUGCCAUAAUACACAGCUGUUUGAAUUGUUGAUUUUCAACCAUGAAACAUAAAAUUUCCUACUUAUCUAUUUUACUCUCAUGCCUCUUCUAAUCCACAGACUUGGGGACUCCCUCUGGUGGUUAAAUAAAAUAUAAUUCUUAUGUUAAUAAUGUUAAACAAACAAACAAAAAGAAAAAAGGUCAUAUCUACAUAAAAUAACUUCUUGUAUAUAUGAAAGUUCUUUGAUUUUUAAGCUAUGACACCCACCAGGGUAUGGGGAUGAGGAGGAGGAGGAGGAAGGGGAGGAGGAUGGUGAUGGUGAUGAAGGAUUCUAUUCAACUCUGACAUGGGUUGAUUGUCAAAAUCACAGAUAAAAACAAUCUGGCAAAAAACAAGCAGAAAAGGCAAAGCCAAUUACAAACUUUUAAAAAUGCAUAAAGUUCACCAAUGAACAAAAUCCUAGAAAGAAAUAUGGACACCGAGAAAACAUUCUGGGGUUCUGGGUUUCAAAACAGCACUAAAAUUUCCAAAGGGCUUAAAUAUCAACAAAUGCAGCAGAACAACAAGGAAGAUACUGGUAACAUUUUCACUGUUACAGCCAAAACACUGUCUCUACAACUUCAUUAUUUUGCCCAAUUUUUUUCUGUCUAUUCAUCCAAAGCAAAACAGAAUUGCUUUGCUAACAAAGACAUCAUUUGAAAGUCUGAUAGAUGGAUUUAUUUCUCCCUCAUUCUUACCUAGUUCUGAUAAAAGAAGAUGAUUUGUUUUUCAGUUUUUUCUUAGCUCCUCUCUCCUUUUCACUGAUAUGGAGGGAGUAUUAUUCCGGUUAUCAGUGUCUUUUAGAGAGGGGAGUGCACACCCUAACCGCUUGCUGGGUCAUGGGGUGGUGGAGCUAAAAAUUCUCUCCUGCUGAAAUUAUAGGGAGCAUCAGAUUCCUGCCACUGUCAGGGUUCUUUAUCAAAAUACGUUUUCUUGGUUUUUGAUGUAAAUACCACUGAACAUGGUGGCCUGAGGAUGUUCUAGAAGUAGAGGUAGAAGUGAAAUGGUGGUUGCGAUUUCUAGAAAAUCUUCCAAGAAUAUAAAGAACACUUCCUCCUCCCUCUCAUUCCAGUCUUCACCAAAUUCUCCAUGUCUAUUUUUUCAAAUAAUGUCCUAAGGGACACCAUAAAGAGGACAGGUUACAUUAACCUCCUCCUCAUUAACCUCCUCCUCCUUUGUACCUGAUUGAAAUGAAUUUUAAUUAUUGUACUUUACGAACUAAAAAAAAAAUGUUAAAGAGAAAUGGUCUCAAAUAUAGAAAAACAAAAUUAUUUUUUCAGAUUUAUAAGAUUAGCCUUAGGAGUUCCCAUUGUGGCUCAGCAAAUCAUGAACCUGACUAGGAUCCAUGAGGAUGCAGGUUCAAUCCCUGGCCUCGUUCAUUGGGUCAGGGAUCCAGCAUUACCGUGAGCUGUGAUGUAGGUCACAGAUGUGGCUCAGAUCUGGUGUUGCUGUGGCUGUGGUGUAGGUCAGCAGCUGUAGCUCGGAUUGGACCCCUAGCCUGGAAACCUCCAAAUGCCAUGGUUGCAGCCCUUAAAAAAAAAAAAAAAA
rnacentral:lncRNA from 1 species